AAAUUGGCAUUCUUUACUUACAGGAGGUAUACCACUGAGAAUUAGAAAAGUAAUGUUAAGGUAUAUACUACACCAAUAUUUUUCAGUUGUUUAUAAGUUUCAUUAACAUUUUUUUUUAAAAUCAGACUUUCUUUUGGUUAAUUGUUGUGGUGUGGGAUGUUGGUUACUUUGCCUAACUAAAAAGUGAACUCAGUAAAAGGCUUGGUCCUUUUAAUACUCCUCUAAAUCUCUCCACUAAAUAUUUUCUCUUUCUAAAAAUAAAAAUUUCUCCUCCUUCUAGUCUAUUCCAUACUCAAGCAAUCAGUUACAAGAAACCCCAAAUUUAAAAGUUUGGAUGG
rnacentral:lncRNA from 1 species